CGCCCGUUGCCAGUUCUGCGCGUGCUACGGCCACGUGGCCCGCGGCUUCCCGCUCGCGCAGUCUGGCAGCCCGGAGCCUUCCGCGGUCCCCCGCCCGCCCGGGGCCCAACGACGCCCUACUGGGCGAGCACGAUUUCCGAGGACAGGGGGUCCGGGCCCAGCGCUUUCGAUUCUCGGAGGAGCCGGGUCCGGGGGCCGACGGGGCUGUCCUGGAGGUCCACGUCCCGCAGGUGCGUGCAGCAGCACCCGCCAGGAGGCGCCUGAGGUCAGGAGCGGAUGUCGGCUGACUUGGCUGGGUUCCUGAGGGACCGGGGGUGCGGACGCUCAGCUGCGCAGCUUCCUGCUUUAGGUUGACCCCCGGAGCAAAAACGUCGGAUAUGAAGCCCUUCGGUGCAUUAAAUGUCUCUCAGUCCUGCAUCUCCAGUAUGGAAUGUAUGUUUGGCCCUGUGCUGUGGUCCUGGCCCAGUACCUUUGGUUUCACAGAAGAUCUCUGCCAGGCAAGGCCAUCUUAGAGGUACAAAUAUUGGAGCUGGAGUGAGCCUUCCAGGAAUUUUGGCUGCCAAAUGUGGUGCAGAAGUAAUACUGUCAGACAGCUCAGAACUGCCUCACUGUCUGGAAGUCUGUCGGCAAAGCUGCCAAAUGAAUAACCUGCCACAUCUGCAGGUGGUAGGACUAACAUGGGGUCAUAUAUCUUGGGAUCUUCUGGCUCUACCACCACAAGAUAUUAUCCUUGCAUCUGAUGUGUUCUUUGAACCAGAAGAUUUUGAAGACAUUUUGGCUACAAUAUAUUUUUUGAUGCACAAGAAUCCCAAGGUCCAAUUGUGGUCUACUUAUCAAGUUAGGAGUGCUGACUGGUCACUUGAAGCUUUACUCUACAAAUGGGAUAUGAAAUGUGUCCACAUUCCUCUUGAGUCUUUUGAUGCAGACAAAGAAGAUAUAGCAGAAUCUACCCUUCCAGGAAGACAUACAGUUGAAAUGCUGGUCAUUUCCUUUGCAAAGGACAGUCUCUGAAUUAUACCUACAACCUGUUCUGGGACAGUAUCAAUACUGAUGAGCAACCUGGCACACAAACUAUGAGCAGACCACUUCAGCUUGAGAAUGCAGUGGGUCUGAAGAUGGUCAAGUCUGUUUGCCUUAGAUUUUGAUGUCACCUAGACAACACUUAAACUCAUAUGAAACAAAAAUUAAAAUACGUAUUACAAG
rnacentral:lncRNA from 1 species